rnacentral:rRNA from 1 species
ACCUUGGCACACAGAGGCGAUGAAGGACGUGGUUACCUGCGAUAAGUCUCGGGGAGCUGGAAACACGCUUUGAUCCGGGAAUUUCCGAAUGGGGCAACCCCUAGAACGGCCGCCUGAAUCCAUAGGGCGGUGCGAGCCAACCCAGCGAACUGAAACAUCUUAGUAGCUGGAGGAAAGGAAAGUAAAAACGACUCCCUCAGUAGCGGCGAGCGAACGGGGAAGAGCCUAAACCGAUGGUUUCGACCAUCGGGGUUGUGGGACAGCAACGUGUAUCAGGGAGGUUAGAAGAAGCGUUUGAAUGGCGCGCCACAGAGGGUGAAAGCCCCGUAUUCGAAAACUGAACUGAGCUAGCUGUAUCCCGAGUAGCACGGAGCACGUGAAAUUCCGUGUGAAUCCGCGAGGACCACCUCGUAAGGCUAAGUACUCCUGUGUGACCGAUAGCGCAACAGUACCGCGAGGGAAAGGUGAAAAGAACCCCGGGAGGGGAGUGAAAUAGAACAUGAAACCGUGAGCUUACAAGCAAUGGGAGUCCUACUCAUAGGAUGACCGUGUGCCUGUUGAAGAAUGAGCCGGCGACUUAUAGGCACUGGCAGGUUAAACCGGGAAUGGUGGAGCCAUAGCGAAAGCGAGUCUGAAUAGGGCGAUCGUCAGUGUUUAUAGACCCGAACCCGGGUGAUCUAACCAUGGCCAGGAUGAAGCUUGGGUGAUACCAAGUGGAGGUCCGAACCGACUGAUGUUGAAAAAUCAGCGGAUGAGCUGUGGUUAGGGGUGAAAUGCCAAUCGAACCCGGAGCUAGCUGGUUCUCCCCGAAAUACGUUGAGGCGUAGCGUCUAGUGCUCCAGCAGGGGGGUAAAGCCACCGUUUCGGUGCGGGCUGCGAGAGCGGUACCAAAUCGAGACGAACUCUGAAUACCCUGUGUGUAACUAGGCAGUCAGACUGUGGGGGAUAAGCUCCAUGGUCGAAAGGGAAACAGCCCAGACCGCCAGCUAAGGUCCCCAAAUCAACACUAAGUGAUAAAGGAGGUGGGAUUGCCCAGACAACCAGGAGGUUUGCCUAGAAGCAGCCAUCCUCAAAGGAGUGCGUAAUAGCUCACUGGUCGAGCGAUCCUGCGCCGAAAAUGAACGGGGCUAAGCAUCGUACCGAAGCUGCGGAUUAAACUUGUUUAAUGGUAGGGGAGCGUUCCAUGUGGGGUGAAGCGUUAGCGUAAGCGGGCGUGGACUGCAUGGAAGUGAGAAUGUCGGCUUGAGUAGCGAAAACAUGGGUGAGAAUCCCAUGCCCCGAAACCCUAAGGGUUCCUCCGGCAGGCUCGUCCGCGGAGGGUUAGUCAGGACCUAAGGCGAGGCCGAAAGGCGUAGUCGAUGGACAACAGGUCAACAUUCCUGUACUGGUCAUGUUUUGGGAAGGGGGACGGAGAAGGCUAGCCAAGCCAGAUGUUGGUUACUGGUCCAAGCGUUCGAGGCGUUGAGAGCUGGCGAAAACAGCUUGAGCUGAGGCGUGAGUGCGAGCUGCUACGGCAGCGAAGUUGGUGACGUCAAGCUUCCAAGAAAAGCCCUAUACCCGUUAAGGCAUCAUUGCCUGUACCCGAAACCGACACAGGUGGGGUGGUAGAGAAUACCGAGGGGCGCGAGGUAACUCUCUCUAAGGAACUCGGCAAAAUGACCCCGUAACUUCGGGAGAAGGGGUGCCACCGCAAGGUGGUCGCAGUGAAUAGGCCCAGGCGACUGUUUACCAAAAACACAGGUCUCCGCUAAGUCGCAAGACGAUGUAUGGGGGCUGACGCCUGCCCAGUGCCGGAAGGUUAAAGAAGCUGGUCAGCGCAAGCGAAGCUGGCGACUGAAGCCCCGGUGAACGGCGGCCGUAACUAUAACGGUCCUAAGGUAGCGAAAUUCCUUGUCGGGUAAGUUCCGACCCGCACGAAAGGCGUAACGAUCUGGGCGCUGUCUCGGAGAGAGGCUCGGCGAAAUAGAAUUGUCUGUGAAGAUGCGGACUACGUGCACCCGGACAGAAAGACCCUAUGAAGCUUUACUGUAGCUUGGUAUU